rnacentral:tRNA from 1 species
ACUUUCAUAGGACAGAAGUAAU